rnacentral:rRNA from 1 species
GACGAACGCUGGCGGCGUGCUUAACACAUGCAGGUCGAACGUAAAGGCCCUGCUUUUGUGGGGUGCUCGAGUGGCGAACGGGUGAGUAACACGUGAGUAACCUGCCCUUGACUUUGGGAUAACUUCAGGAAACUGGGGCUAACACCGGAUAGGAGCUCCUGCUGCAUGGUGGGGGUUGGAAAGUUUCGGCGGUUGGGGAUGGACUCGCGGCUUAUCAGCUUGUUGGUGGGGUAGUGGCUUACCAAGGCUUUGACGGGUAGCCGGCCUGAGAGGGUGACCGGCCACAUUGGGACUGAGAUACGGCCCAGACUCCUACGGGAGGCAGCAGUGGGGAAUAUUGCACAAUGGGCGGAAGCCUGAUGCAGCAACGCCGCGUGCGGGAUGACGGCCUUCGGGUUGUAAACCGCUUUCGCCUGUGACGAAGCGUGAGUGACGGUAAUGGGUAAAGAAGCACCGGCUAACUACGUG